UCUGUACUCCCUCCGUUCCAAAAUACUUGACUUCCAUUUGUCCAAAAAUGGAUGUACCUAUAUACUAAAACAUGUCUAGAUACAUAUAUAUUUUGACAAAUAGAAGGCAUGUAUUGUGCAACGGAGGGAGUAGAAU
rnacentral:pre_miRNA from 1 species